CAGCACUGAGGUCAUCUCCAGGCAGCAGGCAUGCAGGACUGAGAACUUGGCCCAGGCUACCAGCGUCCUGGCUGAGAAAGCAGGGCUUUCAAGAUUCGUGCCACCCUGUGCCUGCGGCAACUUCUGUGCUGUGCCUGCACUGGCUAUUCACCCCCUCCCCCAGACUCCGUCCAGGAAAUUUCACAUUCUGUCAAAAUUGUUACAAAGUUCGGCUAGAAGUUUUCUUCUCCCUGUGUUUUUUUCCCAGUUCCUCUGUCAGUCCUCCCAAAGGACCCCUGUAAGACAAAGUCGGAAAUAGCUUCCCUGGGGACCAAGAGUGCCCACAGGGCUCUUCCCGCUGCUUCUUCUACCCCUGUAUUUUGCUUGGCUCUUUAAGUUUCUCUCAACUCCAGAAAACCUUGUUGGGAGUUUGAUUAGACGGCUGAGAAAGACAGCAAAUCUACAGGGUUUGUCAAAGAUAAGAUCGUUGUCAUGGCAUGAAAAGGAUGACCUUUCCAGUCUGCAAUACCUGCUUGACCACUAAGACCAAACAGCUCAAAUUAAAGGUAACAAAUUCCGCAGAGGCAAUUGUUCAACACAGGAAAAAGAAACCACUUUAAGGAUUUUAAACUGGAAGAGAUUUUACAUAAGCUGUUUUAAACAAAACCAUUGGAUGACCUGGAGUAACAGUGUCGGAAACUCAGCUGAGCUGGAUAGAGAACUGAGCUGCCCGUUGUUGGAGAAGUUGAUUAAAGCAGCAGCCGAAGAUCGAAGUAACAGUCAAGACUGUAAUCACUUACUGCAAUAGUAUAAGCAAGAGGCCAAAACCAAAGAAACUGCCAACUCACCCAGGUCUUCUAAAUUCCCCAGAAAGGUGCACUAGUGGAGGGUCAGUGAAUCAGGACAGACAUGGGGGUCAGCUCACGAUUGAGGAAGCCCCAAACAAAAAUCUCCAGUAGUAUUAUGAACCCUGGAGCAGGAGGUUGGAGUGAGACAAGGAGAGCUAGGAGUAGAAGAGUAUGGAGUCGGAGGAGGGAACGGUUUCUUAAGGUCUCCUCCCACUCUACUCUUAAGAAAGCUUCAGUAGAAGCACCUGAAGAAAACUCCAGCAGGAAGCCCUCAGAUAAAGAAACUUCUGAAUGAAGACACCUAGGCUAGGAAUGCAAAUAUGUUUAAGAGCAUGGGCCAUUAGGGGAAUCUGAGUUCCAGAAUGCAAUUCUCUUUAAAGAUUGCAAUGCACUGGGUAUGCCCCAAGUCUGGGGAGGGCAACUUUCCUCGGAGGGGUUUGCCAGAUAAAGCCUUUGUCAUUGCCUGUGGUUGGGCCUGAAAUAUCAAACAUAGAUUUUUGGCCAGGACUCCUCAGCAGGAUCUAGUCAGGGCCUUCACAAAGUACAUUCAGAAUGACAAUUGACCCACCAGAAAGCCAUCAUGCCACCACUUGAUAUUUUAAAUGAAAAGACCCACCAACAUAUCUGAUAUCCAUAUCUGAUACCCAGUAGAAUUGGAAUGCUGCUAUCACCACUGUCACUAUUGUCACUACCACACCUGCCUCUAGAAACCCAGCAAUCUGGAGGAUGGACCCUGGAUAAUGUUGCAGGCAAACCUCAUUUCUCUACAACUGUGCUUUCCACCAACAGUCGAUUAAAGGAAGACGAAGAUCGAGUGUGUGUGGAUGAUACAGCAAAUAAACCUUCUUCUAGUUCUUAAAGAUUAUGGUUUUCAGUGUUUAGUGAGCAUCCGUGUUCAUCUUUAAAGGAUAGAAAAAUGCAGGAGGCAUCUUGUAUCCAUGAAGAUACUAAAACACGGAUUUCCUCAGGAAAUUGAUCACUCAAGCAUCCAUAAUCUUAGUAGACUGCCCUUAUAGUCGUAUUGCAGAAUGUGUGAUCUGCCAUCUACUGAGGGCUCAUUUUUCCCUCUCCUCUCUCAUCCAAGAUUGGUGAUAGUUUCAAAUUUUUCUCCCACUAUUAUGUAGAAUAAUUUCCAAACUUGACACUCAAUUGAAUCAUGGUGUCCAGGAAAAUAGAUAAAAUAAAUAUGACUUCAUAUACCAGAAGUCAUAUUCCUUUGAAUACAAUCAGGGCCAUAAAUGGCACUUGCUUCUAUAACACAAAGUGCUAUUAUAAUUAUAUACAUGAUUUUUUAAAUAAUUAAGUAACUUGGAACCAGUUUCUAUUGCAAUAAUUAUAAGAAACAAAGACCUCCAACUGAAUGAACCCCUCUGAAAUAUUUUAAUAAACUCUGAGGAGUACUAUUUGUCAAGCAAAGAAAUACUGAAUUAAGGUAAAUGCCAGCUUAGGAUGAAAAGAACAGCAACAGUGCCUACCUUCAUUACCUCAGCCUCUCCCUGGCUAAGAUAAUCACUUAAUCUUUUAUGCCUUUGCUAAAACCUCAUUAGUAAAAAGGAGACCUGCCUACUAAGCAUAAGGUUAAGGCUUUAAUGGACUUUAGAAAUCAUUUACUUUUAUGACUCAAAGCACUGAAGUGCAAAUUCUUUUUAUUUGAAUAUUUGAGGGCAUUAAAUGAGCAUUUUUAAUGGAUUUCAAUUGUCAGGAUAAAAUAAAAUUUCUCAAGGGGAAUCUGAAUUUUAACAAACAUUAAAAUCAAAGAAGUAAAAAGAUGAAUAAAUGGAGAAAAAGUAUUGUAGUAACAUCAAUUUUUGCCAAUCUAAUUUUUUAACAAAAACUUUUAAGUCUAUUUUUGGCCAGGCAUGGUGGCUCACCCCUGUAAUCCAGGGCUUUGGGAGGCUGAGGCAGGAGGAUCACUUGAGGCCAGGAGUUCGAGACCAGCCUAGCCAACAUGGUGAAACCCUGUAUCUACUAGAAAUACAAAACUUAGCCAGGCAUGGUGGUGGGCACCAGUAAUCACAGCUACUCGGGAGGCUGAGGCAGGAGAAUCGUUUGAACCCGGGAGGUGCAGGUUGCAGUAAGCGCCACUACACUCCAGCCUGGGUGACACAGCAAUACACCAUCUCAAAUUGAGUAUAUUUAUUUAGUUUUAAAACUAACUUUGAAAAUCUCUUCACCUAGGGAAGUUAUUUCCUGAAACUAUUUUCUACUGCCUUUUAGAAACACUGCCUUCCUGGUUUUGUUUCUUUUUUGUAUGUUGGCUUUGUUUGGUUUGGGUUAUGUUUGUUUGAAGAAAAAAAAAAAAACCUGAAGUGAUUCUUGAAGUAUUUUUAAGUGAGCACAUUUUAAUUUGACAUAACAUUGGAUUUCACUUGGUGAAAAGAGAGAUACUGAAUAAUUAGUAGUAUCUGAUAAGAUGUUUAGACGGAGAAGUGUAGACUCACCAUGUACAAAGCAGCUAUGAUGGUGUUCGCCCACCUCUUCCCCUGCCUAAUGCCUAUUCAUCUGACAUUUAUCAUCCAGAUUUCACUUCCUCUAGGAAGCUUCCUUGAUGCCUCCAAACAAGGUCGAAAGCACUAUCUACAUGCUUCUUAGCAAUCUGUAGCUCUACCAUCAACAUUUUAUUCUGAUUUUGCAUUUACCUUCUUUCCUCUAGUAGAAUAUGUGCCAGACUGUGUCUUGCUAAACAUUGUUAAAUAGCACUAGUAUACUGCUGGUACAGAAUAAGACAACCAACAAAUAUUGAAUGAAUGAAUGAGUGAACCCAGAGUUAAGCAUCUGCUCACUUAGUGAUUGGGUUGGUUUCAGGUGGAAAGUCCAUAGGCUGAUAUCAAUUUGACUGGUAUCAGUAAGAAGGGAAGUGUAAGAUACACAGGUGUCAGUUUCCUGAGGGUCUUAGAUGAAUGCUAUGUAGACUGGACUUAUUUCAGUUGUUAGCUCUAGAUAUGAGGGACAGGCAGACGAUCACUCUGAAGCAGGUUGGAGCACAUUUUAGUGGGCAUUUAUUGGUUACCUUCUCAGUAUAUUAUCUAGUCUCUGUUAUCCCAGAAAUACCCCAAAUUGCAAGCCACUUAGCAAAAGAAAUUUAAUCUUUACACCCUGUUCUAAUUUAAUCUACCUUUUUGCUACUACCAGCUUUCCUUGGCCAUGGUGACUGAGUCAAGGACAGACUCAUAAUCUAAGGCAAAGCAAUAAGUCAUCAGGAGACUCAAUACCUGCGUGUCUCUCAACCAUUGGAAAAAGUGAAUAUUCUUUGUAUCUGGAUGUGAAUGAGAAAAUACACAACCCCAGGAGCUGCUAGAACCCAUCUUGAGUUUGAAGAGUUUGCCUUAUAAUAAAACCAAUAUCAAAAAAGGAGGGUCUAAUAUGGGGAGGUACAAGCUUUUAGUGAUAUUGUUUGAGUCUUGGAUAAAGAUUCACUUGAAGCUAGAAUCUGCCCUCCGCAUUCCUUUAUAAACCUUGCGACACAUGAAACUGAGCGUGUUACCUCUCAAAAGUAUUCCCACAACAGUAGUCACAAACCUGUCAUAACAGUCAACAUACUACAUUGAAAUAAUUUGUUUAUAUGUGCAUUCCCCUAUACUGUGAGCCUUUGGGGCAUCAGACAUGUCUUGUCACCUAGGAUGGUAUCUGGCACAUAUUUAGUGCUCUAUAAAUCUUUGUAGAAUUAACAAAUGAAUGGAUGGAUAAGAGUUGCAAUAGAGGUAAAUUAUAUUUCCAAAUUUUUUUAUUUAUUCCUGACAAAUUAAUCAUAUUCCUGUAUUUUUUUCUCUAUAUUUCAAAGGUAAUUAGAUGUCAACACUUUUUACUUUCCUUUUUCUGAAGGUUUUAUAAGGAAACUAUGUGCAGGAUAUCAAUUUUUUGGAGAAUGACUCCCACAUUGGCUAUUCUAGCUUAUUCCCACAGGAAUUCCUAAAACCAAGCAAAUAAUUUCAAAUUUGUUGAGAUCGCAUAAUUUAGUUUAGAAUAAAGAGAUCUUGUCACCUUUCCUCUAAAGGAAGUGUCUGCUACAGGCAUUCCCUAUGGGUAUGUAUAAUUGGAAAAUUAAAAAGCAUAUUUAAAGGCAACAUUGUGCUAUAAAAAAUGUUGGCAAUGUUCCAAGGGGGACUGUGUAUGCUAUUAGAUAUUUUUGAGAAUUUACUCUGCCUGUGCUAAGAAUUUUCAAUAAUUCCCUUCUUGGGUAAAAUUAGGGCAUCAGCAGAGAAGUAAACUCUCUAAUAUAAGCAGCAAGUUUCCAUUUUUCACCAUAAUGUGUUCCUAAAAACUAUGUUGGGAAGUAAAAUGAUUAAAAAUAGAACUUUUUUGCUUUCAUACAAUUUUCGUUAAGUUUAAAACUGAAGUUAUUUGUUCACAUAAGCAAGUAAUAUUUAUAUACUGGUUAGGUGAGAUAUUGAUCGUGGCUUUCUUCUGGAGCCAAGAGAGAAUAAAACAACUGGACAAUGUAAGAUGGCUAUGUCUCUCAGAAAGUAAUACAGUCGAAAGCCUAGUUCAAAGUAAGAAACACAUAGUAGAUAUAACACCACUGUUCAUUCCAGAGCCUGUGGAAGGUGGGGCUAUUUGCUCAUGUCAUUCUUUCCUGAUUUAUCUAUAUUAAACCUUAGAAUCUUUCUUAAUACCAAACUUGAAAUGUCACUAGCAUUCAUUUGAAAUUGUUACUAGCAUUGACAGGUUUAAUACCGUAGACUUAAGGUGACUGGCUUACAUGCCUACAACCAGGGAAACAUUUUCACCUGGUGGCAACAUCUUGAUUUGCAGUCAUAGACCCAGGAGAAAGAAUCCAACAUUUUAAGUCUAAUUCAGCAAAACCAGGUCUACAAAUAGUGGCAAACAUAACUUAAGAAAUUAUCUUUAAAAUGAUGGCUUUUACUACACUUCG
rnacentral:lncRNA from 1 species